UCGAAAAGUUUCUGUGAAGCCAUCUCAC
rnacentral:sRNA from 1 species